CAGGGCACAAAGCAUCUUCAAGACCUUUAGAGUUCAGCACUAUAUAUAGGUCUCUUACUUGUACCCAGAGCUUCAUAAUUUAGUUGCUUAACUUCCAUUCUAGUUUCACCACAGUCAUCCGAAUAUAUAACUAUCUGUCUGAAUUCAACCGGAAGCCUGAUGACGACAACAAAAGAAUUUGGGUCCCCAGUGGUACUGAUAAUGGUCAGUGGGU
rnacentral:lncRNA from 1 species